rnacentral:rRNA from 1 species
GGGGGAAUAUUGGACAAUGGGCGAAAGCCUGAUCCAGCCAUGCCGCGUGUGUGAAGAAGGUCUUCGGAUUGUAAAGCACUUUAAGUUGGGAGGAAGGGCAUUAACCUAAUACGUUAGUGUUUUGACGUUACCGACAGAAUAAGCACCGGCUAACUCUGUGCCAGCAGCCGCGGUAAUACAGAGGGUGCAAGCGUUAAUCGGAAUUACUGGGCGUAAAGCGCGCGUAGGUGGUUUGUUAAGUUGGAUGUGAAAUCCCCGGGCUCAACCUGGGAACUGCAUUCAAAACUGACUGACUAGAGUAUGGUAGAGGGUGGUGGAAUUUCCUGUGUAGCGGUGAAAUGCGUAGAUAUAGGAAGGAACACCAGUGGCGAAGGCGACCACCUGGACUAAUACUGACACUGAGGUGCGAAAGCGUGGGGAGCAAACA